GAGGAGGGUGAGGAGGGUGAGGAGGGUGAGGAGGGAGGAGCUGACAAAGUGAGCCCAGGGACUGGCCCGGAAUCCAGCAGCAUCAAUUUGACAGGCCUGAUUUGAUUUGGUGUGUGCAAGGUAUUGCUCUCCGCAAAACUGCUCUGAGAUGCAAUUCACAGAGACAGUGCAAUCCGGCCAAGCCUCCUUUAUGCCAGAGGUCUGGGGAAUAAGUCUGAGAGGCUUUUGUAAAGUCUCCUCUGCUGCACAGGACAUACAGAGACAUUUAAAACUUUUCAAAAGUUUUUCUGUGUCACACGCACGCACACACAUGUAUAUAUAUAUAUGUGUGUGUGUGUGUCCAUAUAUACAUACAGUAUAUGCAUACAUACAUAUGCACACACAUAUACAUAUAUAUAUAUACUAUGAGCCUGUGAAAACCAUCAAAAGCUUAGUACAUGAAAUACCAGCGGCGUUUCUGAGAGGAUAAAUCCUGGUCUUCUACACCCAGUGCUGCUGCUCAUAAACAGUGUGAGGCCAUCUCACUGAAUGCCUUGGAAAAAUAUAUAUGACAGUGUGGAGAAGGGAGUGCAGACCACGGUGUGAAGAACAGCACUUUGAACCAGGCGGGCCUAUUUGGUGUGCUGUAACUCUGUGUAGAGCUCCUACUUGACACACCAUUUGAAGGUGAGCCAAACAGGUUACGGCCAGAUUUUUAUUUCGCCUCCAGCUAUCGGCCCUAAGUAAGUAACCCAGUUAUAUUUGUAGGAGCUCGCUGCUUAAAAAAAUGAAAGAUUUUUUUUUUUACUUGGUAUUUAUUAUUUAUUUUACAAUGUGUAGGUUGUAUAUAUACUGUAUAUGUUUCUAUUUCUCAUCCCAGUGCACAUACCCCUGAGUGCUAUAUUAUAAUAUAAUAUCAUUACUGGUUAUAUGUUUCUGUUUUGAUGUUAUAAAUAUGGUAUUAUAGUAUUAAUAUUACUAUUAUAACUGACAUUAUACUGCUUUAAUAUUUGAUGAUUUCCCUCGGCUGCAUGUAUCUAAGUGCUCGAUUACUGUUCAAUGUUGACAGUAUAUUGUUUUGGAAGAUCUUACUCCCUUCCCUCUUGCCUGGGCCUCCGUGUUAAUUAGGAUUAUCACUCUCACCUGUGUCCUGUGUGUUUCUGGUUGAUUAGUCUGACUCAUGUCACCUGGUGCCCUGGGUAGAAAUACCUCCUUCCUCCAUUCAGUCCUCUUUGGUUCAUUGUCCACUGUAGUUCUGUGUUUCAAGCUGUGUGUUCAUUGUGCCUCAUGUCCACGUCUGAGUUCAUGCUUAUGUCCUGUCAGGAGGACGAAGUGAAAGUGAAGUGAAUUAUUGUCGUCGAUGCACAGCUCACCAAUGAAAUUUGUCCUCUACCUUAGUGAGCAGGCAGCAGCUCAAGCUAGGCACCCAGGGAGCUGUGUGUAGGGACAAGUUGACUUGUGGAUUUGAACCUACAACCAGGCCACCACUGCCCCUUGUAGUAGCUCCGUCCUGCCUUUGAUGCCUUCUGUUCAUCAUGCUCUGAACAACUUCCUGGUUCUUUGAAUCAAUGGACCUCUGUGAAUAAAAUAAACAAAGACAUUUCUAUGGCUGCAAGUGCUUGAAAGCACGGAGAAGGAAAAGGUCAGCGAUGACAGCGGUGAACGUGACUCGUGUCAUUGUUAAAUUAGUAAUGUGGAAAGUUAAGUUGGGCGUCCUUAUGGGAUGAAGAGAAGCUGAGCUGAAGAGAAAACUCCAUCUAAUGGCUGAUCAAUCUCUUCCCUCUCUGUGAGCCUGUGAACCUGUCACAGGAUUAGACCGGAUGGACAUGAGGUGUUCCCGAAUGCACACCCGGGGAUCAGCUCGGGUCAAUGAUUUAAACUCUCAGCUCUUUACCUUAAGGUGAGAUCCUUAGGACUUUGAAGAGCUAAAAGCAAACACCGGCGUUUCUUGGCAGAGCCCUGGGGCAGGAGAGGCAUCAGGAUGACACGCUUUGACAGCAGCGUAAAACCCUGCUGGUGCAGGACGUCCUGCAGAGAACAGAAGUCCUACCUGAGGCCACAGCCAACAUUUUGACAGGUUGCUGCCAUUUCUGCAUUGCUGCAAUGUGAGAAAACCUUCUCCGGAUUGUUGAUCCUUGAUGGUGAAUUCCUGCUUCCUUGUUCCAAAAAACCAUAACUGGUGAAACCAACCAAUGCCGACUCAUAAUUUAGUUGACAUUAUUCCAUACUAAUAAUUCCAUGAGUUGGAUGAAAAAACAUUACCUACAACCACUUGCUGUUAUCGGUCUUUCUAUUUAAGCAAUACACAGAAAAUACUUUGGGAAAGUGGAUUAGGUUUGAUUAAUUGUAAGUAAUCUAGAGCUAACCUGUGAUUAAUCAGAUUUAAAAUUUGUAUUGUUGUUUCAAAGCAUAAAUGUUUGUUUUUAUGGUUUUGAAUGCAUCCAUAUAAUUUGUUAAUUUAAAAAAACCUCCAAACAAACUAAUGUCUCAGAACAGUAAGGUCUGACGGCUGCAGACAGUCUUGCUGCUUUAAGUCUGUUAGUUCUGCACUAUAUGUGUGUGAAAAUGAUGCCUCUCUUCACUGUCACCAUGGGGAGAGGGUUUGGAGUGGAUGUAGUGCCUGCGGGAGAUCUUCUCCAAGAGCAGAAUGGAUGUCUUCUCUCCUGCACCACGGAGCCUGGCUCCUACUUUUUCUUAGCCAAAAACCACACUGUGAUAAUCCAAACAUGGGCUCACCACAGACAUGCACAUGUAGAUGUUGGCGAGGUUCCUGCAGAGUGAGCGCUGUGUGCUUAGCAACAGUGAAAACCACAACCGAGCCGAUCCACACUGGUGGAUACAA